UAUAUAUAUAUAUAUAUAUAUAUAUAUUAUAAAAUAUUAAAAAUCAUUAAAAAAAUACAAAUCAUAUAUAUUAUAACCUUAAAAUAUUAAAAUAAAUAUUAGAAAUUAUAAUUAUGCAACUAAAAUAUAAAACUAAAACUACUAUCAUAUAACACAAAAAAAAAAUCAUUAAAAUUAUAAAACAUAAACUCCCCCAUAAAUCCCCCUAAUUCUCUUAGCUCCCUCCCACAUUUUUCAUCUGUUUAUAAUCUUCAUAUUAAAACAUAAAAACAAAAAUUAAAACUCUCAAAAACUAUAUACCCGACUCCCCCAAUCUCUCUCUAAGAACCCUAGUUCAUUUAUCCCCAUCUCCGGACUCCCUAAAUCCACUUCGAAUUACUUCUCCAAAAUCCUCAAACCCACUUCGAUCUCUUCUAUACAACUCACUGCUCGCCAUCUCACUACUGCUCAGGCUGAUAGGUUAACGACUUCGAGAAAUUGAUGGCAAGUGCAGGUUAAUUCGCAAGAUCCGUCAAGAUCGUGCUGCUCUGGCCGAGUUUUAUGCUCUUUGGCUUGUACUAUGAACUCUCCUUGUGAGGGACCUCUUCUAGAGGAUGCUCCAGCAUGGUGUUUGGAAAAUUUUGAACCCGAAGGAAUUUUUGUAAGGUCCUUCUCUAUACCCUUUUUACUGAUAGUAUUUCAGCACUGUGAGGACAUCUGCCCUCUUGUAAUGUUGAUAAGCAUUUCCUCAUUUGGAAUAGGACUGCAACAACUUUUUCAUUUUUGGUUUACAUAGAGAUGCGUAUGAGUUACUGCUGUUCAGGAUCUAAUAGUAGAAGUUUGUAAAUGGAAUUGGUGUAGAGGUAUGUGCUUUGUCAGGUUGUUUAUAUUUAUGUACAUAAAAGUCUUGGUCUUUUGUUAUCAAGAGUCGUUAAGUUUACAGAAUUCUGUCGAAUUAAUCUAUAUAGGAUUCUAAGAAAUUGCUAUAAAGUCAUGGCUACUUUAACCAAAAAAGCACAAUCAUAUAACUUAGAAGAGUUGUUCAAUAUUAAUUGCAGCUCUAUCUCCACUAUCCUCUCAACAGUUAUUGGGGUGAAUUUUGGCCAUGUUCUCAUCCAUAUAAAGGUUUUCCCUGUAUAUUACUGCUAAAUUGUGAUUAUAGUAAUUCCUUUUUGUACUAUAAGCUGUAUAUAUAAAAUGUAGGAUAAUUCCACUAGAUUGAAACAUUGGAUUGUGAUGGGCCUGUCCCUCCUUCUCCUCGACAUUAUUCUACAUUUUACACAUGGUGAGAAAUGUAUUGUUUGAAAAUAAAUCACUUGUUUUCCUUUUACCAUCCUUGUAUUUUUUUUGUUCUGAUCCUUUUUCCUCCGAGCAGCAAUGCCUAGUAUAGAACAGCCAGGUAAAGUAUAAGAACACAUGCUCCUAGCUUUUCCUAGUACACACAUGAAGGUUGGUAAUCCAUGUAUCUUCGUGCAUUAUAUAAUUAUUAUAUAUGACUGAGGUUUACCUACUAUGGAGUGCAACAGCCUAACACUAGUUUGGUUCUUGCAGGAUAAGUGGGCCAAGAAUCUAUAUAUUGCAUCUGUUUGUUAUGGCCGUACACUUUCAUAGCCUCAACAAUCUACUCAAAAUGACCAGGAUGAUAAGCGCAAGGCACUUUUGGAGGUGAUUAAAAAAACCGGUGUCACAUCUUACAAAGAAAUACCCUCCCAUGCUAUACCUCUGAUCACCAAGAAAAGUGUUGAAUAGCUUAUUGAUCCAUUGCAUGCCGUUGUGUACGAUGCAGAGCAGAUAAAUCGCAUGCUUGCAGUUGCUUCUAUGUAGCUUAGAUUAGAUAUUUAGAUUAAAUAGAUGUGUAGUAAUUGAUCGAUAUUGGAUUUGAUGGAUGUGUAAUAGGUGAAAUUGGAAUUUGAUGGAUGUAUACAAUUAAUUUAUAAAUGCAUU